GGAAAUCUUUUCGGUUCCUCGCAAUAGUGUCCGAUUUACUCGGUCAGGUUCGGAAGAAAGCAGCCAAAGUCGGAAUUUCUGUGUGCCGAGAUCCUGCCGGAAAGGUUUCCGCCCAUCU
rnacentral:SRP_RNA from 1 species